rnacentral:rRNA from 1 species
UACGAAGGGGGCUAGCGUUGCUCGGAAUCACUGGGCGUAAAGGGCGCGUAGGCGGCGUUUUAAGUCGGGGGUGAAAUCUCGGAGCUUAACUCCGAAACUGCAUUCGAUACUGCCGUGCUUGAGGACUGGAGAGGAGACUGGAAUUUACGGUGUAGCGGUGAAAUGCGUAGAUAUCGUAAGGAAGACCAGUGGCGAAGGCGGGUCUCUGGACAGUUCCUGACGCUGAGGCACGAAGGCCAGGGGAGCAAACGGG